CCCACCUCUGAGGUGUCUGUGGGCUGGUGCACCUCCCACCCGGCUCGGCUUAUCACUGACGUGGAUGCUGUGUGCUGGCAGCCGGAGAUGCUGAUCUAUGGAGCUGGAACCCCGCAUUUGACAAGUGAGGUGAUCAAGGCGCCAGUCCUAACGGCAUUCUCGGGAGAUUAACCUGGCAGCUGAGGUGCGGUGGACAAGAACAGGCAGCAGAGAGCGUGUUAUUGCAAUUUCAGCAUGCAACACAGGAAUCAAGGUGGUGGCAGAGCUGGAAGUAAAAGAUCCAGGCAUCAUGCAAGAGCAGAGCACACUCCUGAAUGAAGAAAUGCUUUGUGGGGGUGGUGGUCACAGGCACAGAGGUUCUGAAUUCAAUUCCCAGCGACCACAUAGUGGCUCAGAACCAUCUGUAAUGGAAUUGGAUGCCCUCUUCCAGUGUGUCUGAAGACAGCGACAGUGUACUCAUAUGCAUAAGAUAAAUAAAGAAUUCCUUAAAAA